GAAGGUCUUGCUUUUCAUCAAGUGAACCCACUGAUGACACCCUGCAGCAUGGAAACUGCAGUACAUGAUAAUACUCAGUAUAUCAUGAAACUCAAAACAGGCAAGCUGGACCUGCUGGAUGCAAGGAGUGUUUUCUCGUGCGUUCUGGAGAGUCUCCACCCCCAGGCCACCUGCUGUCCCCCAGAGGCUACACCUUCUCCAGCUGGACACUAGGGUACCUGCCCAGCCCCUUAGGCUCCAGAAGUCCUCCCCUCUAUUGAGGUUAUCCCAUCCCUCCGGUGUUCCCUUUGGCUGGAACAAGGCUGUCUCCCUUUCUAGAGAACCACGGCAGGCCUACAGGAACUCUGAGAGUGCAAACCAUGCCAAACGCAGCCAUCUCCAGGGGCUAGCCACCAACAUGGAGUCAAAUCCCAGUCCACGUGUCCCUCAAACUCCAGAAGACAUGUCACACUUUCCGAAACGGUCCUCUUGAAGUGCUCCCUUAUUUGGCAUGAGCUGAAGAUGAGACACCCACCCCCUCCUGCCUGGGAAGAAGGGCAGUGUCCAGCACACAGACAGUUGCUCCAAAGCAAUCCUCUCACAUUCCGCCA
rnacentral:lncRNA from 1 species